rnacentral:rRNA from 6 species
GGUUGACCUCGGAUCAGGUAGGGAUACCCGCUGAA